rnacentral:tRNA from 1 species
ACUUGAAUAGCUUAUAUUAGAGCACGACCUUGAAGAUGUCGGGGAAAUUUUUAAUUUUUAAGUA